GCCCUGACUAGGAAUCAAACUAUGACCUCCUAGUUCAUAGGUCAACGCUCAACCACUGAGCCAUGCCAGCUAGGCUAAAUGCUCCCUUCCUGAUACUACCUAUUCCCUUCCCUUGUCAAUGUGAGAAAACUUUACAGUAUUUCUAAAACAUGAGUUCACACGAACUAUUUUUAAAGAACCUUGAUCAAUAAUUUGCAUUCUAUACAAAAAAUAAACUCCAAAUGAGAUUCAGACCUAACUGUAGAACAUAGAACUAUAACAAUUCAUUAAAAAACAUACAAGAAAGACGUUGUGACCUUGGGAUAGACAAAGAUUUUUUAGGUAUAUUACCAGAAUAUGAGCAAUAAAAGAAAAAUGGCAAGUUGGGUUUCAUCAAAAUUGAAAACUUCAAAUGAUGCUGGUAACAGAAUGAAAAGAUAAGCCACACAUUGGGACAAAAUAUUUGUAAAUCACAUAUCUUGUAUAUAAUAUACAAAGACUAUACAGAGAGCCCAAAACUCAAGGAAAUAACUGGAUUAAAAAG